CAUUAUGGUUGAAUAGAAGGCCCUUCCAAGCUGCAAGUUGUUGCUGAUGGAUAUUUUUCUAUGUCAAAUUAAUGGAUGUAUUCUAGUGAUUCCAUGAUAGUAAAAGUCAAAGAUGACCAUAUUCUUCUCUUUUGUUAAUUAAGCUUCACCAUAUAAAUCAUUUGAUAGCGGCCAUCCUAACUUUUUGAAAAUAUUAUAUAUAUAUAUAGGAGUAGAUUUGGAUA
rnacentral:lncRNA from 1 species